CCCAGCCGCAGCACCAGCCGCAGAUACAGUCCCAGACACAGACUCCGGUGCUGCCGCAGGCUGUACCUACGAUAUGUGAAUCAAACCGUUUCAUGAAUCCUGGGACCCACCACGGACGACACAGGGGCCUCUCUGAGUCACAGGACAUGGCCUUAUGUCUCCAUUGAAGUGACUGGACCGCACUUCCAGGCGACGGGAACUCAUGAACCCCCCACACCCCCCAAAAAAAAGAAAAUUAAAAGCACAGUUGUAACUACCUGAAUAGGAAGAUAUUCCCGUGUCAUACAAACAUGGGUAUGACAUGAAUAGUCGAUGGCAUUUUUUUUGUCAUAAAAAAAUAAUAAUAAUGUAAAUCACAGACUUUUGCCAAAGGUCUUAUUUUUUUUUCCUAAAUAUCUCCAGAAAAAGAAAAAAAAAGCAAGUGAUGAUGAGAUUCAAGUAUUGACUUGUUUCCACUUUUUACCCACAACUUCUCCAAAUCGAACCAUAUCUAUGACCACUGUUAGCCCAUUGUAUCCAUUCCAAUUAGAGGGAAAGAAUGUGAAUAUAUAUUCUGUGUUUUGAGUGACAAGUUUCGAAAAAUAAAAACACUGUAUUUUUAAAAGGGAAAUGAACUUAAAUGAAAGCAGUUAUUACAAAAGUUAAGAUUUAAAAAAAAAAGCGAGAGUUUUUAUUAUGAUGUAAUACCGGUAGAAUAUUUAACAGGCGCACCGCAUCUGAAUAAUCAAUGUAAAUAUUUUCUUUCCAAGUUGUACGUUUUCCUAUCAUGUGUUGUAAAGUUUUCAUAAAUGAGGCUUUAACGUAAACACUGGUGACACGAACCAUUCAUUGCUACGUUGCUUAUUGUGUUUUUACGCUGUUUUAUACUUUUUUAUGAGUUACGAUAGCAGCAAUUGAGUUGUUUGUAUUUUGCUUAACUAAAACAAAAAAAAAUGCUUUUAUCUUGCUAUAGAAUAAACACAUUUCAGUAAAGACCGUGGGCUGUAUUUUGAUGCAACAACCCAGAAACUGUUCACUUUUCAAAUAAAAUGAUCUGUCACGUU